AGAGUUUGAUCCUGGCUCAGAUUGAACGCUGGCGGUAUGCUUAACACAUGCAAGUCGAACGGAAACGAUACUAGCUUGCUAGUAGGCGUCGAGUGGCGGACGGGUGAGUAACGCGUAGGAAUCUACCAGAUAGUGGGGGAUAGCCCGGAGAAAUUCGGAUUAAUACCGCAUAAUCUCUACGGAGUAAAGGAGGCCUCUAUUUAUAUGCUUUCGCUAUCUGAUGAGCCUGCGUAAGAUUAGCUAGUUGGUGAGGUAAAAGCUCACCAAGGCGACGAUCUUUAGCUGGUCUGAGAGGAUGAUCAGCCACACUGGGACUGAGACACGGCCCAGACUCCUACGGGAGGCAGCAGUGGGGAAUAUUGGACAAUGGGGGCAACCCUGAUCCAGCAAUACCGCGUGUGUGAAGAAGGCCUGAGGGUUGUAAAGCACUUUCAAUUGUGAA
rnacentral:rRNA from 1 species